rnacentral:sRNA from 1 species
UCGGGCAGUGUCUCACUGUGGGCGACAAAACCGCCUUGAACACGCAAAUUCGCUGUUC